AUUGAACGCUGGCGGCAGGCUUAACACAUGCAAGUCGAGCGGAGAUGAGGUGCUUGCACCUUAUCUUAGCGGCGGACGGGUGAGUAAUGCUUAGGAAUCUGCCUAUUAGUGGGGGACAACAUUCCGAAAGGAAUGCUAAUACCGCAUACGUCCUACGGGAGAAAGCAGGGGAUCUUCGGACCUUGCGCUAAUAGAUGAGCCUAAGUCGGAUUAGCUAGUUGGUGGGGUAAAGGCCUACCAAGGCGACGAUCUGUAGCGGGUCUGAGAGGAUGAUCCGCCACACUGGGACUGAGACACGGCCCAGACUCCUACGGGAGGCAGCAGUGGGGAAUAUUGGACAAUGGGGGGAACCCCGAGCCAGCCAUGCCGCGUGUGUGAAGAAGGCCUUAUGGUUGUAAAGCACUUUAAGCGAGGAGGAGGCUACUGAGACUAAUACUCUUGGAUAGUGGACGUUACUCGCAGAAUAAGCACCGGCUAACUCUGUGCCAGCCGCCGCGGUAACAC
rnacentral:rRNA from 1 species